GACGAAUGCCUAGGGACAAGUUGCCGACGAAGGACGCGAAAGCGGCGAAACGCUCGGGGGAGCUGCACAGAAGUGUUGAUCCCGAGAUAUCCGAAUGGGGAAACCCGGUCAGAGUAAUGUCUGGUCACUCAUCACUGAAUACAUAGGUGUUGAAGAGGUAACCCGGUGAACUGAAACAUCUAAGUAACCGGAGGAAAAGAAAUCAACCGAGAUUCCCUGAGUAGUGACGAGCGAACGGGGAACAGCCCUUAAGUUGAGAUGGCUUUAGAAGAACAGUCUGGAAAGACUGGCCAUAGAUGGUGACAGCCCAGUAUUUGAAAGGGCCAUCUCAAUGAAGACGAGUAGGGCGGGGCACGAGAAACCCUGUCUGAACAUGGGGGGCAUCCG
rnacentral:rRNA from 1 species